rnacentral:rRNA from 1 species
UCUGGCGGCAGUAGCGCGGUGGUCCCAUCUGACCCCAUGCCGAACUCAGAAGUGAAACGCCGUAGCGCCGAUGGUAGUGUGGGGUCUCCCCAUGCGAGAGUAGGGAACUGCCAGAC